rnacentral:rRNA from 1 species
CUGGAGCGGCCGAUAUCUGAUUAGCUAGUUGGUGGGGUAAAGGCCUACCAAGGCAUCGAUCAGUAGCUGGUCUGAGAGGACGACCAGCCACACUGGAACUGAGACACGGUCCAGACUCCUACGGGAGGCAGCAGUGGGGAAUUUUGGACAAUGGGCGCAAGCCUGAUCCAGCAAUGCCGCGUGAGUGAAGAAGGCCUUCGGGUUGUAAAGCUCUUUUGUCAGGGAAGAAACGGUGAGGGCUAAUAUCCCUUGCUAAUGACGGUACCUGAAGAAUAAGCACCGGCUAACUACGUGCCAGCAGCCGCGGUAAUACGUAGGGUGCAAGCGUUAAUCGGAAUUACUGGGCGUAAAGCGUGCGC